rnacentral:tRNA from 1 species
GGGAAUGUGGCUUAGUGGUAGAGUUCUUGCCUUACAUGCAAGGGCUUCAUAGCCCUGGGUUCAGUUCCUCAGUACCA